rnacentral:misc_RNA from 1 species
GAUGAAGAACGUAGCGAAAUGCGAUAAGUAGUGUGAAUUGCAGAAUUCAGUGAAUCAUCGAAUCUUUGAACGCACAUUGCGCCCCUUGGUAUCCCGAGGGGCAUGCCUGUUCGAGCGUCAUUUCACCACUCAAGCCUGGCUUGGUGUUGGGCGACGUCCCCUUGGGGACGCGCCUCGAAACGCUCGGCGGCGUGGCACCGGCUUUAAGCGUAGCAGAAUCUUUCGCUUUGGAAGUCGGGGCCCCGUCUGCCGGAAGACCUACUCGCAAGGUUGACCUCGGAUCAGGCAGGGAUACCCGCUGAACUUAAGCAUAUCAAUAAGCGGAGGA